AUUCCUUUCACCUACCGAAAUACAAGGUAAACGUAGCAAGAAACUUCAUACACCGUGUCUGUUCUCUGUCCACCAACCUAAACACCACAGCGAAGAAGGCAAUCGUACAGAAGCAUCUCAUCAAAAAUGGAUACCCAAGAACACUAAUCAACAGAAUCUUCCACUUGUACAACAACCAAACAAACCACCAUCAACGACAGCAACAACCCGCCUCGAUCACAGAGUUUCCCAUCCAAUCACCACCAGCAAUUACAGUCAAUCAAUCGAAUCUCUCGAACAGAGGAUGUUCGUCCACGAUAAUAAGGUCCAACACUGUGUCAUCACUACAACCAAUUAUCGAAGUCAACAACAAUCCCUCAACGCCUGAAAUCAUCAGUCAACCAGCAACCGACUCUCCAUCCCGAAAUCCAUCAAUCGUUAUUUCAACAACAAACCAGAAAUCAAACCGCAUCUAUCGAUCCAUUCCAUAUAUCGCUGGACUGUCGGAACGAAUCAUUCGGGUUCUAAACAGAGACUACAACAACAUCAUGAUAACAUGCAGACAAACCAAAACAAUCCAACGCUUCCACACAUUUGUAAAAGACCCUAUCGAUAAGCUAGAUCGUAGUAAAAUAAUAUACAAAAUACCUUGUAGCAACUGCCAACAGUGCUACAUAGGUAUGACAAGAAACAGAUUAAAAACAAGAUUAUACGGACACAAAACACACACCAACAAACUUAAUAGAUUAACAGAGUUAGGGUACAACAAAACAGAUGCAGAUAUGCUAUCACUAAAAGAGAAAACAGCACUUAUCGAACAUUGUAUUGACCACGACCACCGUUUCGAUAUGGAUCGCGUAACAGUAUUAGACAGUAGCAACCACAUAAAUACACUUACCUUUUUGGAAAUGUGUCAUAUCACUAAUACACCACAUACAGUAAACCAUCGCACAGAUAUUAGUAGCUUAAAUUCAACAUACGCAGCCAUCCUACAAACCAUAUAUGAAACAUUUCAAGAUCGUCAAAUUUCAAGUCAACCACCAUCUUCGAACCAACCGUUACCGCCUUCAGAUGUGUAGUGCAGUUAAAGUGGCUAUAUUAAGUGAAAUUCAAAGAAAAGUUGCUACGUUUCACUUAAUACUAUAUCCCAUGUACAAAUUCCAAAACCUUGACACCAACAGUUAUAUGUUAACAUACACGAAGAACGAUUAAGUAGAAUGUAAGUGAACGAACAUAACAUGUAACAAAACAAAUAACAUUCCCCUAAUUACAGUAUCCCCAGAAGAAGACUCGAUUCUGAGUCGAAACGUCGGGAAAAA